AGUACUCCACGUUGUGGCCGUGGCGACGCAGGUUCGAUUCCUGCCAUGGGCA
rnacentral:tRNA from 1 species